AAUGGACCAACAAGGUUGUUCUAAUUUCAUUAAAAUGCAAGGCUGAAACAUUGGUUUUGGGAGAGCAAGAAAAGGGAAUUUG